UAUAGCAUAAUGUUCUCUACAAAACACGGUAAACAGGGGUAAAUGUCAAACAUAAAGCUACAAUUUUAUAACGUUAGUUAGAAGUAAAAACUUAUGUAUAUUUUGAGGACAUAAAUUCUUAAAGAGAAGAAGAGGCACUAGACACUAUCAAUGCGAUGGGGCCGCUAGACACAAGCGAUAAUGUAGGCAUGUUGGUCGCUUCUCUGAUUUGGACAGAGACAGAGUUAUAUCACAACUCCAAACGCGCUCCCAAGUGUACAUGUACAAAAAUAUAAGAUAAAAAUUAGCACAAACCUUAAGCCAAAUCAGUGAACAGAAUGAUACAGGUACUUUAUCAUUUUCUAAAAUCAAACAAAGAUCCUAACUAAUCCAAUAUGGUUUAGUCAUUCACGUUUUGGACAAAGAACUUACACCGUGUGCAAUGAAGCUGCAAGACAGU
rnacentral:lncRNA from 1 species